GUUGGUCUAGUAGGGAGCAGUACUUGUUGGAAUUAAUUGUUUGGUUUUCCGGAAGAAGCUCAUAAUAGAGGACUCCCUGCCAAUCCCACUAUAGACACAACACCACCUUCUUUGAAUGAAAACUGGUCUUUGGUGUGGUUGGUCAUGGUUCAUUUCGCUUGCCCCACAGUCUCUGCCGUUCCACAUUGUUGUACAGUACCCACUUUUCAUCGCCCGCAAUCGGUUUUAAAAAUGGAACGUUUUUAUUAUGUUUCAGGAGAGAAUCACGUGUGAAAAUAUGGCCAAGGUUUUUUUCGCUUUACUUAUGCGGAACCCAAACAUCAAAGUGAUGAACGUAACCAAUCUGGUGCAAAUGAUUUUCAACGCUUGAUUUGGAUAUUUUGAGUAUGUCGGCUAUCUCCCGCGUGGUAUAACAUUGAUUGUUCUUAAUUAUUGUUUCGAUUUGAUCGCCAUCAACUUCAACUGGUCUACCUGACCGUGGAGCAUCGUCCAGCGAGAGAUCUCCAGAAGUGAAGACGCCACCCUGUCCUGCCCUCGGUCCACCGCACACAGUGGGGUGUUGCUCCAGGCUCUUGCUUCAGAAGUGAGGAAGCCAAGGCCUGCGCCUGCCCAGGCGAGGACAAGGCAUGCAGGACUCAGGUCGGACAUUUGAGGAGGGGGAGGAGGAGCCGGGAACGAUGGAGCCCCAAGAGCACAGGGCAGCUGAAGGGUGUGAAGAUAAAGAACUGAAGCAGGUCAGAAUUCAAUUCACAGUGAACGGUGGGAAGACUCCACCACCAGCCUACGUGGUUCUAAGAUUUGCCUUGUA